rnacentral:rRNA from 1 species
GGAAUCUUCGGAUUCUAGUGGCGGACGGGUGAGUAACGCGUAAGAAUCUAACUUCAGGACGGGGACAACAGUUGGAGACGACUGCUAAUACCCGAUGUGCCGCAAGGUGAAAACUAAUUGGCCUGAAGAAGAGCUUGCGUCUGAUUAGCUAGUUGGUGGGGUAAGAGCCUACCAAGGCGACGAUCAGUAGCUGGUCUGAGAGGAUGAGCAGCCACACUGGGACUGAGACACGGCCCAGACUCCUACGGGAGGCAGCAGUGGGGAAUUUUCCGCAAUGGGCGAAAGCCUGACGGAGCAACGCCGCGUGAGGGAGGAAGGUCUUUGGAUUGUAAACCUCUUUUCUCAAGGAAGAAGUUCUGACGGUACUUGAGGAAUCAGCCUCGGCUAACUCCGUGCCAGCAGCCGCGGUAAUACGGGGGAGGCAAGCGUUAUCCGGAAUUAUUGGGCGUAAAGCGUCCGCAGGUGGUCAGCCAAGUCUGCCGUCAAAUCAGGUUGCUUAACGACCUAAAGGCGGUGGAAACUGGCAGACUAGAGAGCAGUAGGGGUAGCAGGAAUUCCCAGUGUAGCGGUGAAAUGCGUAGAGAUUGGGAAGAACAUCGGUGGCGAAAGCGUGCUACUGGGCUGUAUCUGACACUCAGGGACGAAAGCUAGGGGAGCGAAAGGGAUUAGAUACCCCUGUAGUCCUAGCCGUAAACGAUGGAUACUAGGCGUGGCUUGUAUCGACCCGAGCCGUGCCGAAGCUAACGCGUUAAGUACCCCGCCUGGGGAGUACGCACGCAAGUGUGAAACUCAAAGGAAUUGACGGGGGCCCGCACAAGCGGUGGAGUAUGUGGUUUAAUUCGAUGCAACGCGAAGAACCUUACCAAGACUUGACAUGUCGCGAACCCU